GACGAACCGUGCGACCGUUGUUCGGAAUCACUGGGCUUAAAGGGCGCGUAGGCGGGCUCACAAGUCAGGGGUGAAAUCCCACGGCUCAACCGUGGAAGUGCUUUUGAUACUGUGGGUCUUGAGGGAGGUAGGGGCGUGCGGAACUUCCGGUGGAGCGGUGAAAUGCGUAGAGAUCGGGAGGAACACCAGUGGCGAAGGCGGCUACCUGGACCAGCACUGACACUGAAGCACGAAAGCGUGGGGAGCAAACAGG
rnacentral:rRNA from 1 species